rnacentral:rRNA from 1 species
AAAUUUGAAAUCUGGCGCAAGCCCGAGUUGUAAUUUGUAGAGGAUGCUUCUGGGCAGCGGCCGGUCUAAGUUCCUUGGAACAGGUCGUCAUAGAGGGUGAGAACCCCGUAUGUGACCGGCGCGCACCCUCCACGUAGCUCCUUCGACGAGUCGAGUUGUUUGGGAAUGCAGCUCUAAAUGGGAGGUAAAUUUCUUCUAAAGCUAAAUACCGGCCAGAGACCGAUAGCGCACAAGUAGAGUGAUCGAAAGAUGAAAAGCACUUUGGAAAGAGAGUUAAAAAGCACGUGAAAUUGUUGAAAGGGAAGCGCUUGCAACCAGACUCCGCGGCGGUGUUCCGCCGGUCUUCUGACCGGUCUACUCGCCGCCGUGGGGCCAACAUCGUCUGGGGCCGCCGGAUAAGACCGUUGGAAUGUGGCUCCCUCGGGAGUGUUAUAGCCAGCGGUGAUGCGGCGCGUCUCGGGCGAGGUCCGCGCUUCGGCAAGGAUGUUGGCGUAAUGGUUGCCAGCGGCCCGUCUUGAAACACGGACCAAGGAGUCUAACAUCUAUGCGAGUGUUCGGGUGUCAAACCCCUACGCGUAAUGAAAGUGAACGGAGGUGGGAGCUUCGGCGCACCAUCGACCGAUCCUGAUGUCCUCGGAUGGAUUUGAGUAAGAGCAUAGCUGUUGGGACCCGAAAGAUGGUGAACUAUGCCUGAAUAGGGUGAAGCCAGAGGAAACUCUGG